AAACGCUCUGAAGCCUCAUUGUU
rnacentral:miRNA from 1 species